rnacentral:lncRNA from 1 species
CACGCCAUUAAGAAAAUCACGUGGUUUCCUCAUGGUUAAUGAUUGCCAGGCUCUGAAUAAGUGGCCCAACCUUUGUAUUUAAAGAGCAGGUGAUCCACACAGACCUAUCCCUGGCUCUCACUGGGAACUGCAGAAAGCCUCUAUCAAAGAAAGAUGGAGUAGGGGGCUCUGGUUUAAAGAAAAGAUCUCUCUCUGCCAAGCAAAUGGAGCACUUGCCUUCAGGGAGGAGAAUCAAGCCAGUCUCCAUCUUCUCUACUAAAGGAUUCUGGCUGGGAGGUUUCCUAAGUUUCUUCUCAUUCUCAUUCUGUGGCCCCAGAAAGUGAACCCUCAGAGGUGGGACUUUGGUUUCUUCCGUUGCCCGUGCGAUGUGUAAACGUGGAGCAAGGCAGGGCCUUCUUCACU